AUUCUAAGAAUUCGUUGGUCGUGGCAAAGACACAUCAUAAUCCUGGUCAUGGUGACUCUGUGUGCUGUACACACCCAUCCCCUACUCCCUCACUGACACAGGAUAUAAUGGACUGGGACAGGGGAAUCUGGUCUGCUGCCCUCUGUGGUGAUCUAUCAAGAGUUGAGAAGCGACUGUCAUGUGGAUGCUGUGUUAAUAGUGUGGAUAAAUCAGGUUACACAGCUCUGGUACUGUAGCAUUAUGAUUGCCGCAAUGGACACAAAGACAUUGUUUUCAAGUUUCUCCAACAUGGAGCUGAUCUAAACCUUAAAAAACCGGUCAGGUCAUAUAUGACACAGAGCUGCCUACGGUGGUCAUCUUGACAUUGUAUCUCAACUUCUCCAUGCCAAAUCUGAUGCCACUUUGGUAAACAGCUCUUCAUGGCAGGAAAUAAGCUGGCUGCAGAACAAGGCAAUACAGAAAUCUGAAAGGUGGUUCUUAAAGCUCAACCUAGUAUGAAGACUGCAGAAGUCCAGAGGACAGACACCCCUAGACUGCAUAAAGAAAAACAGUGAUCUUGGACUGAGACAGGUUUUAUCAUGAGAGUCUCUCCUACUUGAUGAUCUGAAAUGUAU